CCUAUCCACAGAGGUGUUGCAUGUAGGACUGCUGCAGCACAUGUAUGUGUCAGUAGGUGGCAGAGGGGAGAGACGCUAUGUCUAAACCCAGUGUUCUGACCUAGGAACAUCUGAAUGAUCAAUAGCCUAACAUU
ensembl:snoRNA Gm26005 small nucleolar RNA SNORA17